rnacentral:lncRNA from 1 species
GUUCAAAACUCUUCGCGAAUCUCUGCCUCCCUCUCACUCUUGAGUCUGAGGAGUUACCAGCUUAAGCUCUACGGCCUCAUUCAGGUAUAUUCAGUUUUCCCUCUCUAAAUUAUCUGUUUGGAUGCCUAGAAAAUCAGAGAAGAAAAUGCAAAAAUCAACUUGUCAUAAAAGUGAGAUGGAUAUGAUGGUGAAAUAGUAAAAGGUUUGAGCAGGAAUUUUGUGAUGGCAGUGAAAGAACCGAAGAGGGCCCUAGUCCUUGUUAAAGCUUUUGCAUUGCGACUUUCGCAACCUCUUCUAAAUCAAACAGCACUGGGGUUUGAUCUAUAAGCCUCAGUGAUGGGUCGUAAGAAAAGGCGUGGGUUACAUUCUAAUAUUGAAUGCCAGCCUAGACUGCUCCCAACAUAUUGCAACAGUGACUUAGCUGCCAUCCAAUUUCCAGCAUUGAUAAAAAAUCUUUCUGCUGAUCCAUCUCGAUGAUAUGAUUGCCAUUCUUCUUAUGUGGAUUUAGCUUUCGAUUGUGAUUUUUGUUGUUGUUGAGAAAGGAGCUUGACCUAUAUAAGUUAUGGAAAACACUUUAUAAUCCACGUAUUUUUUUUUUCCAAAUUCUGUCGUAUGGGUCGAAACCCAUGUAUAUUAGGUUGUCUUUUGAUUGUGGGUAACUAUUAUGUUUCCCCUGGUCCAUUUUGUGUAACAAAAUUUGUGUAUAUGUUUUGGGAAAAUCAAUGCUGGAUGGGUUUUGUGUAAUGGGCUGCUAAGUUUUUGCGGUUUUGGUUGUUUGGUAGUGGCUUUUCAUGUUACUAGUGUUUUAAAUAUAGUGUUCAUGGAUGCCAGCCCUUAAUUUUUGUGACAGGUUUUGGCCUUAAUUUUUGGCUUGAGUUGAUCGUUAACUUGUUCUGUUCUUGGUUAUGUUGUGCAUCUAUUUUGUUGAUGUGUUUAGUUAAUCUCUUACUCAUAUGUGUUUGUGUGUGUGUUCUCUUUUGGUAGGAAGAAUCUGUGCAAGUCCCAAAAGUUCCAGUGCAAAGUUAAUUUUUCCCCUUUUAGUUUGAAGAGAAUGUCUGCUUGUUUGUCUGUUUUUUAGUUCUAGCAAGAUUCUAUUUGCCCCCUCCUGUACAGUUAAUCCCCACUUUCCCACCCUUGAAUUCAUUUUCUUCGUCCAUAUUUGAUUUCUGCAUCAAUUGUACACAAGCAUGGCUAGAUUUAAGCAUCUUUGUUUGGUUCAACAGGCACUAGGGCCCUCUAGCCAUGUUAUAGUGGUUGAUUACUUGUUCAUCUGACCAUACCUUUGAAUUAACUAUGUCGAAAGGUUUUGCAUAUUGUACCUUUUGUAGUAGGAGGUUUAGCCAUAAUCAGCUCAUACGUCUAUUCAAUCAUUUUAUGACAAGGUACAUAUGGUCUGGUAUAAAUAGAAAACACUAUUGUUUGGAUAAAUUUGAGUAUUCUCAGCUCUGGCAACAUCUUUGACUUGCUCUGAAUUGGGUAAAUAGAAAAGAAUAUCACUUUAUCUGGCUGCAGGUAGAAGUGCAUAUUAGCAAUGUACCUAGAGUGAUAUGUUGUAUUGCUUUACUUAUUAUAGAAAAAAUAAGGAAAGAUUGUAUUGUUUGCUGAAAAUGUAUAAUAUAAUGACAAUGCAUUACUAAAAAAAGACAAUGUAUUCAAUUAUUUUUAUUUUUAUUAUCUGUAUUCUCUCUCUCUCUCUCUCUCUCUCUCUCUCUCUCUCUCUCUCUCAAUAUUGCUUUUGUUCUUGAUAACAAUGAAAUCAUUGAAAUGCAUAGGAAAAGUGGAGCAAUGAAAUUGUGGACUAGGGUAUUCUAGAGAAAUCUGGAUUUGAUAGCCAGAGAAGGGAUUGAUCAAAACGAGGCUGUGACGGGAUUGCUGGAUGGGGAAUAGGCUUCAGCAUAGAUGCCAGAGUGUUCUUGAGAGGAUUAGGAAUUUAAAGAGUAUGUUUCUGUGAGCUUGAAAGAAAAAGGUUGCCUGGACUUUUUUCAGGUGAUUGUUGUCUGAGACUGAGAGUAUUGUAAGAGAGGAUGAUCUCUUAGCUCAAAUAGAGUAUUGAAGCUCAGUAUGGAGAGGGGAUUUGAGGGUUUAUGUCUUUUUCUUAUUUUAUCAAGAGGUUGAUUUCUAAACCAAAACUAGGGCUGAAUUUUGAUGGGACUUCCAACUGGGAAAGUGAUGCUGAGCAGACCUAGACAGACACUCACACAAAGCUCACUAAAGAAUGGGACUGUGCUUGGUCACUUAUUGGUUUCCCAACAAAAAUUAUAUUUGGCUUGUUUUGACCAAUCUCCUAUUUGCAUUGCUAUAAAUUUGAGAUACACUUUGCACCG